rnacentral:rRNA from 1 species
CUGGGAAACUGCCUGAUGGAGGGGGAUAACUACUGGAAACGGUAGCUAAUACCGCAUAACGUCGCAAGACCAAAGAGGGGGACCUUCGGGCCUCUUGCCAUCAGAUGUGCCCAGAUGGGAUUAGCUAGUAGGUGGGGUAACGGCUCACCUAGGCGACGAUCCCUAGCUGGUCUGAGAGGAUGACCAGCCACACUGGAACUGAGACACGGUCCAGACUCCUACGGGAGGCAGCAGUGGGGAAUAUUGCACAAUGGGCGCAAGCCUGAUGCAGCCAUGCCGCGUGUAUGAAGAAGGCCUUCGGGUUGUAAAGUACUUUCAGCGGGGAGGAAGGCGAUGCGGUUAAUAACCGCGUCGAUUGACGUUACCCGCAGAAGAAGCACCGGCUAACUCCGUGCCAGCAGCCGCGGUAAUACGGAGGGUGCAAGCGUUAAUCGGAAUUACUGGGCGUAAAGCGCACGCAGGCGGUCUGUCAAGUCGGAUGUGAAAUCCCCGGGCUCAACCUGGGAACUGCAUCCGAAACUGGCAGGCUUGAGUCUCGUAGAGGGGGGUAGAAUUCCAGGUGUAGCGGUGAAAUGCGUAGAGAUCUGGAGGAAUACCGGUG